rnacentral:rRNA from 1 species
GUGCCAGCAGCCGCGGUAAUACGGAGGGUGCAAGCGUUAAUCGGAAUUACUGGGCGUAAAGCGCACGCAGGCGGUCUGUCAAGUCGGAUGUGAAAUCCCCGGGCUCAACCUGGGAACUGCAUUCGAAACUGGCAGGCUAGAGUCUUGUAGAGGGGGGUAGAAUUCCAGGUGUAGCGGUGAAAUGCGUAGAGAUCUGGAGGAAUACCGGUGGCGAAGGCGGCCCCCUGGACAAAGACUGACGCUCAGGUGCGAAAGGGUGCCCGGGAGCAAACAGGAUUAGAUACCCUGGUAGUCC